rnacentral:tRNA from 1 species
GCCGAUUUAGCUCAGCUGGUAGAGCAUCUGAUUUGUAAUCAGAGGGUCGUUGGUUCGAAUCCGACAAUCGGCACCA